UACGAAGGGUGCAAGCGUUACUCGGAAUUACUGGGCGUAAAGCGUGCGCAGGUGGUUUGUUAAGUCUGCUGUGAAAGCCCCGGGCUCAACCUGGGAAUGGCAGUGGAGACUGGCAAGCUAGAGUGCGGUAGAGGAUAGUGGAAUUCCCGGUGUAGCGGUGAAAUGCGCAGAUAUCGGGAAGAACACCCGUGGCGAAGGCGGCUCUCUGGGACGGUACUGACGCUGAGGAGCGAAAGCGUGGGUAGCAAACAGG
rnacentral:rRNA from 1 species